CUCAGAUUGCCUCUGAGUCUGUAUGUGUGCACACGUGUGUGGCCACUGCUGGCUUCCCAAAGGGCUCACCUCUCUACUGCCAUUUUGCUAGGGCACAAGAGGUAGCCCCGUGGGAUGUUACUCUCCCUCUUUUUCUCCCUGCCCCCAACUCAGCCUGGGCUUUUUCCUGUCUCUUAACUCCACCAGUGCAGCAGCAACUAGCCGAGCUGCUGGCUAUUUCUGCAAUGAUUCUCCAGAAUCUCUGCUCAUGAAAAAGACAAGUGCAAGCUAAUGUACACUGGAAGGAACAAUUGAAGCAGCUCAUACUCACUGAUGGGCUCUGAAUUACUCUACUUGUAAGUGCUCAGGAAAAAGAUCUCAGAUUCAUUGUGGAUUGCUCAAUGGAGACAUCUGCUCGCUGUGCAGCAGCAGUCAGAAGAAUGAAUGAGAUAUAAUAGGC
rnacentral:lncRNA from 1 species